rnacentral:rRNA from 1 species
UACGUAGGGACCAAGCGUUGUUCGGAUUUACUGGGCGUAAAGGGCGCGUAGGCGGCAUGACAAGUCACUUGUGAAAUCUCCGGGCUUAACUCGGAACGGUCAAGUGAUACUGUCGCGCUAGAGUGCGGAAGGGGCAAUCAGAAUUCUUGGUGUAGCGGUGAAAUGCGUAGAUAUCAAGAGGAACACCUGAGGUGAAGACGGGUUGCUGGGCUGACACUGACGCUGAGGCGCGAAAGCUAGGGUAGCAAACGGG